rnacentral:rRNA from 1 species
AUUGAACGCUGGCGGCAGGCUUAACACAUGCAAGUCGAGCGGAGAGAGGUAGCUUGCUACUGAUCUUAGCGGCGGACGGGUGAGUAAUGCUUAGGAAUCUGCCUAUUAGUGUGGGACAACAUUUCGAAAGGAAUGCUAAUACCGCAUACGUCCUACGGGAGAAAGCAGGGGAUCUUCGGACCUUGCGCUAAUAGAUGAGCCUAAGUCGGAUUAGCUAGUUGGUGGGGUAAAGGCCUACCAAGGCGACGAUCUGUAGCGGGUCUGAGAGGAUGAUCCGCCACACUGGGACUGGGACACGGCCCAGACUCCUACGGGAGGCAGCAGUGGGGAAUAUUGGACAAUGGGCGGAAGCCUGAUCCAGCCAUGCCGCGUGUGUGAAGAAGGCCUUAUGGUUGUAAAGCACUUUAAGCGAGGAGGAGGCUACUUUAGUUAAUACCUAGGGAUAGUGGACGUUACUCGCAGAAUAAGCACCGGCUAACUCUGUGCCAGCAGCCGCCGUAACAC